rnacentral:lncRNA from 1 species
AUGUGAGGAGCGCCUCUGCCCGGCCGUGACCCCAUCCGGGAGGUGAGGAGCGUCUCUGCCCGGCCGCCCCGUCUGAGAAGUGAGGAGACCCUCGGCCUGGCAGCCGCCCCGUCUGAGAAGUGAGGAGCGUCACCGCCUGGCAGCCACCUCGUCUGGGAAAUGUCUCAGCGGCUCUACAAGGGAGUCCCAUUUCAGGUGUGGGGCUGGGCAUGGUCACUCCUGCUGGAUGUCUAGAAGAUGGAAACUAAGGACCUAGGAAAAUGCCAGAUACAGCCUUUCCACCCUCAUCCAGAGCAGGACAAACAGGCCAGGUGGUGUCAGGAGCCCAGGUCUCCAGCUGGAGGGAACGUCAACCCUGCAGUGGGAGCAGGGGCCCAUCGCACAUCCUAGGCACAGAUGCUAAUGUAGGCACUGCAGGUAAGCUGGGCUUGGUACCCUUCCCUGGCUUCAGAAAGAAGCCAACAAGGAGCGUUUUGCAGAAUGAAACCUCUUUUCCAUCCAGAAGCACUGCUGACUGUAGGUGGUUGCCGUUUGUGGCAGUGAGCAUUUUGUCCAUUCUGAGGUUGGAUUGGUUUCUUCUUUUGGCCUUGCCCUGCCCUACAGACCAUAAAGGAGAACAGCAAGAGGCCCCCAGCAAACAUCCACAGAUGGCCCUGGACAUCAGCCACAUUCUGAGAAACAUGUCAUGUUCUGGGAGGGCUAAGGCAUCAACCUUACCCUGUAGGAAUUCUAGUGACUAUGUUGCCACCAUCUUGGAGCUCCAUGCCCUCAUAGUGUAAUGGCACCAGCAGAUCUGCCUGUGCAUGGACUUCCUGUACUACCUCACUCCUGAGGGGAGAUGUUUCUGCAGGGCCUAUGACCUGGUGCACAACUUUAGACACCAUCAUCCUGGAGCAGCACUGCACCCUCACUAGCCAGAGUGUUGACAUCCUCAAGGCCAGGGCCACAUUCAAGACUUUGGACUUCAUUGAUGCACUUGUGCUGAGCAAGAUCCUGGUCAGAGUAAAACAUUCCAUGGGAACUCGGGCUGUGAGAAACAUCCUAACCACCUGACUGCAGAAACAUCCUUAUCACAUCCUGCUGGGCAAGGGCCCAACAGCCUGACUUCAGGAACAUCCUUAUCAUCUUCUACUGAGCAGCAAGCUAUACUGUCCAGAGCCCUCCCUCCCAGCCCCAUGAUUACCCCAGCCUGUAAGUGGCAGUGGGCGCUGACACUAAGCUGGUUUCC